GGGGCUGAUUCUGGAUUCGACGGGAUUUGCGAAACCCAAGGUGCAUGCCGAGGGGCGGUUGGCCUCGUAAAAAGCCGCAAAAAAUAGUCGACCGAGGAUGUAGGAAUUUCGGACGCGGGUUCAACUCCCGCCAGCUCCACCA
rnacentral:tmRNA from 1 species